rnacentral:rRNA from 1 species
UACGUAGGGCGCAAGCGUUGUCCGGAAUUAUUGGGCGUAAAGAGCUCGUAGGCGGUUUGUUGCGUCUAUCGUGAAAACCUGCAGCUUAACUGUGGGCUUGCGGUGGAUACGGGCAGACUUGAGUUCGGUAGGGGAGACUGGAAUUCCUGGUGUAGCGGCGAAAUGCGCAGAUAUCAGGAGGAACACCGGUGGCGAAGGCGGAUCUCUGGGCCAUUACUGACGCUGAGGAGCGAAAGCGUGGGGAGCGAACAGG